rnacentral:rRNA from 1 species
GCGGCGGACGGGUGAGUAACACGUGGGCAACCUGCCCUGCAGACUGGGAUAACUUCGGGAAACCGGAGCUAAUACCGGAUAACACCGAAAACCGCAUGGUUUUCGGUUGAAAGGCGGCUUUUAGCUGUCACUUGCAGGAUGGGCCCGCGGCGCAUUAGCUAGUUGGUGAGGUAACGGCUCACCAAGGCGACGAUGCGUAGCCGACCUGAGAGGGUGACCGGCCACACUGGGACUGAGACACGGCCCAGACUCCUACGGGAGGCAGCAGUAGGGAAUCUUCCGCAAUGGACGAAAGUCUGACGGAGCAACGCCGCGUGAGCGAAGAAGGUCUUCGGAUCGUAAAGCUCUGUUGUCAGGGAAGAACAAGUACCGUUCGAACAGGGCGGUACCGUGACGGUACCUGACGAGGAAGCCACGGCUAACUACGUGCCAGCAGCCGCGGUAAUAC